ACAGGGAGACAGGUGGUGCAUGGUUGUCGUCAGCUCGUGUCGUGAGAUGUUGGGUUAAGUCCCGCAACGAGCGCAACCCCUACGUUAGUUGCUAACGCGUGAAGGCGAGCACUCUAGACGAACUGCCGUUGACAAAACGGAGGAAGGUGGGGAUGACGUCAAAUCAUCAUGCCCCUUAUGUUCUGGGCUACACACGUGCUACAAUGGCCGGUACAGACGGACGCAAAGCCGCGAGGUGGAGCAAAUCCUAAAAAGCCGGUCUCAGUUCGGAUUGCAGGCUGCAAUUCGCCUGCAUGAAGUCGGAAUCGCUAGUAAUCGCAGGUCAGCAUACUGCGGUGAAUACGUUCCCGGGCCUU
rnacentral:rRNA from 1 species